rnacentral:rRNA from 1 species
CGCUAGCUACAGGCUUAACACAUGCAAGUCGAGGGGCAGCAUGGUCUUAGCUUGCUAAGGCCGAUGGCGACCGGCGCACGGGUGAGUAACACGUAUCCAACCUGCCGUCUACUCUUGGACAGCCUUCUGAAAGGAAGAUUAAUACAAGAUGGCAUCAUGAGUCCGCAUGUUCACAUGAUUAAAGGUAUUCCGGUAGACGAUGGGGAUGCGUUCCAUUAGAUAGUAGGCGGGGUAACGGCCCACCUAGUCUUCGAUGGAUAGGGGUUCUGAGAGGAAGGUCCCCCACAUUGGAACUGAGACACGGUCCAAACUCCUACGGGAGGCAGCAGUGAGGAAUAUUGGUCAAUAGGCGAGAGCCUGAACCGGCCAAGUAGCGUGAAGGAUGACUGCCCUAUGGGUUGUAAACUUCUUUUAUAAAGGAAUAAAGUCGGGUAUGGAUACCCGUUUGCAUGUACUUUAUGAAUAAGGAUCGGCUAACUCCGUGCCAGCAGCCGCGGUAAUACGGAGGAUCCGAGCGUUAUCCGGAUUUAUUGGGUUUAAAGGGAGCGUAGAUGGAUGUUUAAGUCAGUUGUGAAAGUUUGCGGCUCAACCGUAAAAUUGCAGUUGAUACUGGAUAUCUUGAGUGCAGUUGAGGCAGGCGGAAUUCGUGGUGUAGCGGUGAAAUGCUUAGAUAUCACGAAGAACUCCGAUUGCGAAGGCAGCCUGCUAAGCUGCAACUGACAUUGAGGCUCGAAAGUGUGGGUAUCAAACAGGAUUAGAUACCCUGGUAGUCCACACGGUAAACGAUGAAUACUCGCUGUUUGCGAUAUACAGCAAGCGGCCAAGCGAAAGCGUUAAGUAUUCCACCUGGGGAGUACGCCGGCAACGGUGAAACUCAAAGGAAUUGACGGGGGCCCGCACAAGCGGAGGAACAUGUGGUUUAAUUCGAUGAUACGCGAGGAACCUUACCCGGGCUUAAAUUGCAGAUGAAUUACGGUGAAAGCCGUAAGCCGCAAGGCAUCUGUGAAGGUGCUGCAUGGUUGUCGUCAGCUCGUGCCGUGAGGUGUCGGCUUAAGUGCCAUAACGAGCGCAACCCUUGUUGUCAGUUACUAACAGGUUCUGCUGAGGACUCUGACAAGACUGCCAUCGUAAGAUGUGAGGAAGGUGGGGAUGACGUCAAAUCAGCACGGCCCUUACGUCCGGGGCUACACACGUGUUACAAUGGGGGGUACAGAGGGCCGCUACCACGCGAGUGGAUGCCAAUCCCCAAAACCUCUCUCAGUUCGGACUGGAGUCUGCAACCCGACUCCACGAAGCUGGAUUCGCUAGUAAUCGCGCAUCAGCCACGGCGCGGUGAAUACGUUCCCGGGCCUUGUACACACCGCCCGUCAAGCCAUGGGAGCCGGGGGUACCUAAAGUGCGUAACCGCGAGGAGCGCCCUAGGGUAAAACUGGU